rnacentral:lncRNA from 1 species
GCAGUUCUGCCUUUGCCACUUCCCGGGCUAGAUCUACCACCUUCUUGUCCAUUCGCUCCCUGUGCCGAGGGAACAUACUAUUAUACAGUAAGCAACUUCCGUAAGAUAUGCUGUAGGCAUUCAAGCCCUUAUCCUUCAGCCAUUGGAUGAGUUCUCUCAAAGUUGGGUUGUCUCUCAGGAUCCAUCGGUCCCAAACGGUCCAGCUCAUGUCACCGUGUUUGAUGACUUUGGGUGGAACUGGCUCAGCCAUGGAGAACAGAGGCAGUGCAAGGUUUGCAAAAGUGUUGCGGUAGUCCUCUACCUUGUGGCCUC